rnacentral:rRNA from 1 species
AACGCUGGCGGCAGGCUUAACACAUGCAAGUCGAGCGGGCGUAGCAAUACGUCAGCGGCAGACGGGUGAGUAACGCGUGGGAACGUACCUUUUGGUUCGGAACAACACAGGGAAACUUGUGCUAAUACCGGAUAAGCCCUUACGGGGAAAGAUUUAUCGCCGAAAGAUCGGCCCGCGUCUGAUUAGCUAGUUGGUGAGGUAACGGCUCACCAAGGCGACGAUCAGUAGCUGGUCUGAGAGGAUGAUCAGCCACAUUGGGACUGAGACACGGCCCAAACUCCUACGGGAGGCAGCAGUGGGGAAUAUUGGACAAUGGGCGCAAGCCUGAUCCAGCCAUGCCGCGUGAGUGAUGAAGGCCCUAGGGUUGUAAAGCUCUUUUGUGCGGGAAGAUAAUGACGGUACCGCAAGAAUAAGCCCCGGCUAACUUCGUGCCAGCAGCCGCGGUAAUACGAAGGGGGCUAGCGUUGCUCGGAAUCACUGGGCGUAAAGGGUGCGUAGGCGGGUCUUUAAGUCAGGGGUGAAAUCCUGGAGCUCAACUCCAGAACUGCCUUUGAUACUGAAGAUCUUGAGUUCGGGAGAGGNGAGUGGAACUGCGAGUGUAGAGGUGAAAUUCGUA